AUGUGUUUGUGCCCGAUAGACUGUGAAAUGGUGUGUUGCUCCACGGCUGUGCUGCACCUGCGCCCCACCGAGGAAAAGCCUCAGAUAGAGGUCCAUUCCCAUUGUAUGGUAGAGAUACGGGAUUGCCAGGCUGUCAAACUAGCCUGCUCCGGUCAGAUAUGGGGCUUGGAAGUCCAGGUCAGCUGUCAUCCUCGGGGAAGCCUGGAACAACCUACUACCCAUUUUCUGGCACAAAUCAGCGCCGAAGACCACUUCAUGACUCGCCAGCUCUUGAUCCUCUACAGACAAAGAAAGUAAGAAAGGUGCCCCCUGGUUUGCCUUCUUCUGUAAGUACCGAUUGUUUUACUUACAGUAAGUAAAGUGGGCUGAAACUGGGUUCUGUUUAGCUGACAUGCAAAUUACUUAAGCUAUCAUUAGGAAGGCUAUCUGCUGGACAUGAACAGCUAUGCUAGGCGAUUGGGAGUGGUUUUUGAGGACUAAAUACACAUUUGAUGUGUAAUUUUUAGAUUUCAUAGCAGUGAUUUGUAGCUUGCUCAUAUGCUCCUACCCACUUGUCCCUGUCAUUUGAAUUCCUCUCUUGGGAAGAGAGCUGGGCCAGGAGCUGUCAAAGAAGAUCUCCUGUACAGGUCUUUUGAUGUUUAAUUAGUCAUUAUGUUGCUGAACAGGAGGACAGACAGAGAUUAAUAGCUGAGAAUCUUAGAAAUUUACAUUUGUAAUAAUCCCAGUGGAGCUGAAGACAUUAAGAUUCGGAGGACAUGUACAGCUCAGCUUGCCUCAGUAGGACUGAGGUUAUUAAUAUGCAUAAAUCACCGAGUCAGAUGUUCAUUGUGAAGCCCUGGUGGAUUUUAAAGCCUUCAUUAAGCCUUUCCUAACUUCAGCCUAGCAUCAGGAAAGCUUUCAAGCAACUAGUUUGUUGAUCCCUCUUUGCUUGAAAAUUUAUCCUUCGAGAAUAAAGGGCUUUGAUGAAAAAGGUUGGAAGGGUUUUGGUGGAAAAAUCAUUAAUGGCUGUGAUAAUCUAAUGCUAUAGGGGUGUUCUGCGGUAUUAAAUAUGCUUUAUUCUUAAAAAGAAGAAAAUUUGUUUAUAAAUGAAUCUGCAUUUAAAAAUCCACGUGAAGUGCAAAAUCCCCAGUGAAGUGAAGGACAGAAUUAUUUUUCUUCCUGCUCAGAACAAACAGGAGGGGAGGGGGAAGCGCCGCUGCCUUGCGGGGUACAUCUCUUUGUUGUGUAAAUGCGUGUUGGGCUUUUAUUUGGCAGUACUUAACACAUGGGCGCAGGUGCACUCGGAUGAGUCAUAACUCAAAGCCGGAUAGGCUGAAUAGCGCAUACUGCACAGGCAACAGUAAUAUAGCGGGAGCAAAAUGAGGCCGAUCUUUUUAUUCUGUAUGAAGUCUGAAGUAUGGAUGGUGUCUUCCAGUCCUCGCGUCUCCCCCGUUCUCCCCUCCCUCUCUACCCCUUCUCCCUCCCCCGGCUCACAGUGAUACCUACCGAAACCUGGAUCUGAAAUCCUAUUUUAACCGUACUUGCAGAUGGAGCUGCGAUAGCGGGGAUAGCCUGGGGCAGCUGUGCUCUGAACCUGCAGCCUACCUGGAAGCCAGGAUUGCAGCUGCAGGCACUCUUAAAAGCUUUUGCUUGCAUAAGCACUUGGGCCCCACUAGAGGCUGAAUAGCUGCUUGAUAAACAAAAUGAACACAAUGCCUCAAAUCAUUAUUCCCGAGGCCAGGAAUAUUCUUUUUCUUCCUUUUUUUUUUUCCCUUUUUUUUUUUUUUNUUCAGGAGUUACUGUAACUAAGUUGAGAAAUAGUAAUAACAUCGUGUGACUUGAGCCAAUUGUAACUAAUUGGUGGGUCACUUUGAAAGAGCACAGAGCCAGUAUUUUCAAAGGACUUCUCAACACGUGGAGAGAACAGUAUGGCUUGUUUGGAAAGGCACAAGGGGAUAGUAAUUUAAUUGUGGAUGUGCUAUGAGCAAAAGCAUUAUUUAAUGGUGUUAUAGAAUCACGGAAUUGGUUGGAAGGGACCUUAAAGACCAUCCCGUUCCAACCCCAUGCCAUGGACAGGGACUCCACGCACCAGAUCAGCUGCCCGGAUCCCCCUCCAGCCUGGCCUUGAGCACCUCCAGGCGUGGGGCAC
ensembl:lncRNA